rnacentral:lncRNA from 1 species
UUGAGGGGAUGCUGGCCCCAGGCUGAAGUCACAUUUACUUCUGACCUCUGGGUUUGGGCUAUAAGGAGAAAGGCUUCUCUGUGGUCUGGACAUAAUUGCCAUCCCAAUUACACCAAGCCGAAAGCUGGACCCUGGGUACCUGGCUGAAGACUUUGGACUUUAACCUGGAGAUGAUGGAGAGUAUGCAGGAUAAAGUCCAUACCAAAUCCAACGCCUAGCAAAUGGAGAACAAGCCAAAACUAACAAGAUAAAAUGUAGCAGGAAAAAGUGCAAAGAGCUGAAGUGUGGAAUAAGUGGGAGAGGUCUGCCAUGCCCUAUCUGACCUUGCUGCCAUGAUCUUUAAGGCUGUGUGUCCUGGUUGGUGCAGCUACAAGAUGGCAGAAAUGCCUAAGUGAUGGUAUGGAACAGAGGAUCCCUCUUCUCACCAUUGUCUUGCAUGUUUCCUUGUGUGAACCACAAAUAAACUUUUGUUAUGUUAAGCUGC